rnacentral:rRNA from 1 species
UACGUAGGGUGCGAGCGUUAAUCGGAAUUACUGGGCGUAAAGUGUGCGCAGGCGGCCGCGCAAGUCGAGUGUGAAAGCCCCGGGCUUAACUUGGGAAUUGCGCUCGAAACUACGUGGCUGGAGUGUGGCAGAGGAAGGUGGAAUUCCACGUGUAGCGGUGAAAUGCGUAGAGAUGUGGAGGAACACCAAUGGCGAAAGGCAGCCUUCUGGGCCGAACACUGACGCUCAUGCACGAAAGCGUGGGGAGCAAACAGG